UGGGGAAUAUUGGACAAUGGGCGAAAGCCUGAUCCAGCCAUGCCGCGUGUGUGAAGAAGGUCUUCGGAUUGUAAAGCACUUUAAGUUGGGAGGAAGGGCAGUUACCUAAUACGUGAUUGCUUUGACGUUACCGACAGAAUAAGCACCGGCUAACUCUGUGCCAGCAGCCGCGGUAAUACAGAGGGUGCAAGCGUUAAUCGGAAUUACUGGGCGUAAAGCGCGCGUAGGUGGUUUGUUAAGUUGGAUGUGAAAUCCCCGGGCUCAACCUGGGAACUGCAUUCAAAACUGACUGACUAGAGUAUGGUAGAGGGUGGUGGAAUUUCCUGUGUAGCGGUGAAAUGCGUAGAUAUAGGAAGGAACACCAGUGGCGAAGGCGACCACCUGGACUAAUACUGACACUGAGGUGCGAAAGCGUGGGGAGCAAACA
rnacentral:rRNA from 1 species